GGUGUCAUAUGGGUGACAUCACUCCCCCAGCUAGCCAAUGGCUGGGGGCCGGCUCCGCCCAUCUUCCUUUAUUAACUCGGAGGCCCCGCCCCUCCACCCCGCCCUCCGGGCUGCUUUGCAAAGAUGGGGGUGGGGGGAGAGGAGGCAUGUCUAGAAAUAUGUUAUUUUUAAAAAAUCCGCGUGUGUGCACAGAUGCGCCUGUUCCCGGGAUGCUCGGAAGCGGCGCGCGGCACCACGGGGAGCGGGCGGCCCGGGGCGAACCGGGAUGGUUCGGGCGCCGGCGCUAACCGAGGACCGGGUCCCGGGAGAGGCCCCGCGCGCCUUUGUGCCCAGUCCCCGGGAGGCCCGACGGCGACAGCGGACGGCGCGCGCUCACUCCCCGGGUGCACACACUCGGGCACGCGCCCAGCCUGAGACGGCGGCCUCCGCCCGGCUCGCGGUCAGCCGCGCCCGGCCUGCCCCGGGGUGGGCGCAGCUGCUCCCCGGCGAGCCCCUCGCGGGGCUCGGCCGCUCCCCCGGGUCGCCGCCCCGAGCCCGCCCGGUAGCCCCGCGGCGGCCCUGGCCGACGGAAGGUGGCGCUUGAAGACAGCAACCUUCCCGGCACGUGGGCUCUGCUCUCCUUUUCCCUUUCUCCCUUUUUGUAAGGCAAAGAAAUCAAUUUAAAGCUCGAGAGGCGGUGAGCUCCCUCCCCCGUUUUGCAUUUUUCUGUUUUGUCCUUUUUCUCCGUCUGUUUUCCCUCCUCGGUGGUGUUUGGGGACGCGGCUGUGCGGGUUGGGCUGCGCCGCGCCCCCGCGCGCCCCGCCCCGGGCGGGGGCCGGAGUAACGGUCUGCGGGGCCCUCGGGUUCAAGCUGGCCACUCCCAGGGCUGGCUCCGGAGCGGGCUCUGGGUCCCGCAGGCUCCAGCAAGCCCGCGCCCCGCCCGGCGUCCCUGCGAGGGGCCCGGCGCCCUCCUUCCCUUCUCCCUCUGCUCCCCGCCCCUCCUCUCCCCGCCCCGUCCUCUCCCCGCCCCUCCGCCGCUCCUUUCUCCUUCCCAGGCCUCCUCUUCCUCUUUGUCCUUCCCCCAUCCUCGGUCGCCAGCGCUUCUCCGGCAGCCUCGUCCUGAAAUCGUGCGAUUGUGAGCUAGAAGCCUUCUGGGUCACUCAUAAACCAAAGAGAAAAUAAGGUGCACUCGAGUUUCCCGUCUAAAUAUUUUCCCUGGAGAUGGAAAGGUGCGCUGGCGGCCGGGGAGCCGCGACCUGGGGCGCGCUGGGCCUCGCAGAGCAGCCGCGGACCCCGGCGAUCGUGCCGUGUUCGUCUCCUUUGUGUUUCUUUAUUGAGUCCCUACUACCUCUACGGAUAUUCUGGGGGCAAUUAAAGAAAAUCACCGCUUCAUAGGCAGCACAUAUUUCCCAUAGAAAUGUGGAAUGUAAGAAAGGCACAUAAAGCAAUCCAAGUUGCCUGCAGAUAUCCACAGCCUACUUCAGUCUCAGUAAUGCUCUUUUAACCUGGUGCAUCAGUUUAAGGGAAGACAUGAGAUCAUGGGUUUAAGUGAGGCUUCAUCAUGCCAAGACAACGUGAUCAGAUCCAUUAUCUACUAUAUGGUCAGAAGAUUCUGAAGGCAUGAAGACAUACUUCUCUGGGCCCUGGGAGGCUUCUGACAGGAGGAGUCACAUGCCUAGGAAGUAUCCUAACAGGAUGAUGCAGCAUGAAGGCCCCCCUCAGAUGCUGGUGCAAUGAUCUUGGACUUCCCAACCUCCAGAACCAUGAGCCAAACAAAUUUCUAUUGUUUAUAAAUUACCCCGUCUCAAGUAUUCUGUUAUAGCAACACAACUGGACUAAGACAGAGGGUUACACGUAUCUUUCACAGGAAUUCCUUGGGGCUUAAUACAAAUCCUUGAGAGUUCUAGCCCAGAUGCAGCCUAGAAAUGUGAAGAUGAAGGAGGUAGGUAGUAGGGUUGUUAUUAAUCCUAGGGGAAACCCUCCACUAUGGGAUUCUGAAAUCAGCAGAUAAAUGCUGCAGCCCCCAGACUUGUGAAGAAAUUUUUGAGAUUCAUCUUCUCUGGUUCUUCAGCACAUCACCAAGGCAUGGACCUGCAGUUGGCUCCAGCUAUAACUAGCUCAAUGAUGCAUCCUUCACUGUUUUUCUUUCUUUCCCCAUUUUUCUCUGUAUGUUUCCUUACUUUAGCUUCCUGGGAUCAACUCCCAAAUAAGCUACCUGAAGCCAACUGUUUGCCCAAUACACUUUCUUCAGGAAACCCAGUCUGAGACAUAAGAAAACAAAUCAAAUGCUAAUUCAGUGGUUCAGUUGGUAAAAAUAACAGAGACUCAGCCUAGUUGGCACUAGUGGAGAUAAAGAAAAGAGGACAACUUUGUUAUGCAUUUUAUAGACAGUCAUGAGGCAUGCAAAUUGGUGUAAUGUAUGCAGAAAAAGAAAGGGAAAUUUUCAGUGUGAUACUACAGUUAGUCCACUGUAUACCUAGAAUUGUCUUUUUCAGAGAAAGAUGGUGGCCUUUGGAAAAGGUACAGAUUUGGGAGGAAGAUCGUUAAUUCAAUUUGGGCAUGUUAUGUCCAAACUACAUUAAAUACUUGAGAACUAUUUCUUUAAUAAUGGAUGAGUGAAGUCAGUUCAUUUCCAAGCUUCUUAUUUGUCUUAUCUGUGAAAGAAAAAUUGUGAUGUCUAGUACCCAGAUAUGUAAAAAGUAAAUGUAAUCUACCACAUUAAAGCUCAAAAUGCUCGAUGUUUUUGCAAAUAUAAAAUAAUGUGACUUACUUUAAAGAUAAUAAAUUAAAUAUUAAACAUGGC
rnacentral:lncRNA from 1 species